GGGAAGUUGGCUCAGUGGUAGAGUGCUUGCCUCGCAUGCAUGAGGUCCUGGGUUCAAUUUCUCA
rnacentral:tRNA from 1 species